rnacentral:rRNA from 1 species
CUACGUGCCAGCAGCCGCGGUAAUACGUAGGGUGCGAGCGUUAAUCGGAAUUACUGGGCGUAAAGCGAGCGCAGACGGUUACUUAAGCAGGAUGUGAAAUCCCCGGGCUCAACCUGGGAACUGCGUUCUGAACUGGGUGACUAGAGUGUGUCAGAGGGAGGUAGAAUUCCACGUGUAGCAGUGAAAUGCGUAGAGAUGUGGAGGAAUACCGAUGGCGAAGGCAGCCUCCUGGGAUAACACUGACGUUCAUGCUCGAAAGCGUGGGUAGCAAACAGGAUUAGAUACCCUGGUAGUCCACGCCCUAAACGAUGUCAAUUAGCUGUUGGGCAACUUGAUUGCUUAGUAGCGUAGCUAACGCGUGAAAUUGACCGCCUGGGGAGUACGGUCGCAAGAUUAAAACUCAAAGGAAUUGACGGGGACCCGCACAAGCGGUGGAUGAUGUGGAUUAAUUCGAUGCAACGCGAAGAACCUUACCUGUCUUGACAU